rnacentral:misc_RNA from 1 species
ACACCUCAACCCUCCAAUGUUUUUGCAUUGAAGGUGUUGGUAGUGAGCGCUGCCGGACUUUGGGUCGGCUCGCUUUAAAAUCAUUAGCUGGAUCCAUUCUGACCUGGUUCUACUCGGCGUAAUAAGUUAUUAUCGUCGAGGACGCUUGCCUUUCUAGGCAGGCGGCCACAGUAAGGGUGUUUGAACCGCUUCCAACAUGUCUUGCUCUUGUAGCAAACACUUGAACCU